rnacentral:rRNA from 1 species
UACGGAGGAUCCAAGCGUUAUCCGGAUUUAUUGGGUUUAAAGGGUGCGUAGGCGGCCAGUUAAGUCAGGGGUGAAAGACGGUAGCUCAACUAUCGCAGUGCCUUUGAUACUGAUUGGCUUGAAUGUACUUGAGGUAGGCGGAAUGUGUCAUGUAGCGGUGAAAUGCUUAGAUAUGACAUAGAACACCAAUUGCGAAGGCAGCUUACUGCACAAUGAUUGACGCUGAGGCACGAAAGCGUGGGGAUCAAACAGG